CCGCGGUGAAUACGUUCCCGGGUCUUGUACACACCGCCCGUCACACCACGAGAGUUUACAACACCCGAAGUCGGUGAGGUAACCGCAAGGAGCCAGCCGCCGAAGGUGGGGUAGAUGAUUGGGGUGAAGUCGUAACAAGGUAGCCGUAUCGGAAGGUGCGGCUGGAUCACCUCCUUUCUAUGGAGA
rnacentral:rRNA from 1 species